rnacentral:rRNA from 1 species
GACGAACGCUGGCGGCGUGCUUAACACAUGCAAGUCGAACGGAAAGGCCCCAGCUUGCUGGGGUACUCGAGUGGCGAACGGGUGAGUAACACGUGGGUGAUCUGCCCUGCACUCUGGGAUAAGCCUGGGAAACUGGGUCUAAUACCGGAUAGGACCGUGCUUUAGUGUGUGCGGUGGAAAGUUUUUCGGUGCAGGAUGAGCCCGCGGCCUAUCAGCUUGUUGGUGGGGUAAUGGCCUACCAAGGCGGCGACGGGUAGCCGGCCUGAGAGGGUGUACGGCCACAUUGGGACUGAGACACGGCCCAGACUCCUACGGGAGGCAGCAGUGGGGAAUAUUGCACAAUGGGCGCAAGCCUGAUGCAGCGACGCCGCGCGGGGGAUGACGGCCUUCGGGUUGUAAACCCCUUUCGGCAGGGACGAAGCUUUUGUGACGGUACCUGCAGAAGAAGCACCGGCUAACUACGUG